rnacentral:lncRNA from 1 species
ACCAUAAAAGUGGCUUAUAAUGCAAAUUUUAGUUUUGGGUUUAUUUCCUUUAUAUCUUGUAGAUACCCAAAGUAUGCCCUACGUCUUCUUGAAAUCCUAACAUUUUCAAGGGCAGGACUUUGUCCUUUUCAUAGGGAAUCUGAGAUCGCAAUAUGGUGAAACUAUGAAGCAAUAUGUCCUCAGUGACCCUUUCACGAAGUGUUUGAAGUUCUCUCCGUUUGUUACUAUGUGGUCCUCAUUUAGUUAUCACAUGCCCCAACACCAUUAUUUUCUAAAUGCUUCACUCUACAGGGAUUUUCCUGCUUCUCAUCAAAAUUUGGUUUUAUAGACACAAAUUAUUGAAUCUUCAGAAGGAAGAGGGAGGAAAGUUGCCUUUGUCCCUAACAGUUUUGGUGAGCCCAGGCAGGAGAACAAGUCACUCUGCUCAGUUUAGAGGCUGUAAAUGGGACCCUGGGACAACUAACAAAAAAGCCAGCCAAGAAAGCUAUCUACAGUUUACGGGAAUAUGGGAAGGUGUACUUUUGUGUGCAGAAUUGAAAUUUUUUUUUCUCCCUACCUGAUCCCUCCAGAGUUUGGAGACUAUUUGUGAGAAAAAAUGUCACUUCCUGAGAGGCCCUGGAACCUGAAUAUAUUUUUGGGAACCUUGAGAAGAGAAGUAUUCACUCAAGUUUAAAGGUAUUACAGGCACAAUUUGAGGGUGACUCCUCCUUGGAUUGGCUUCCCAGCCUCAAGAGGCUUUCAAAAGUUUAAUCUGAGAUUCCUUGUGAAAAGUUCCAGCAAAGCAAAAUUGAAAAUGAGCUUAUAUGAUUAAUCAUCAUUUUGCUGUACUUCUGUAAAUUAUUAGGCAAAGUAUAACAAGCCUAAAACUUAUUUUGCAAACAAAUUAGUUUUAUUGUGAUUAACUUUGGUAAAAAGGGGGGAACUCGAGAGAGAAAAAUUAUGACUUAAAAGAAAACUACAGUGUAUCUGUUAUUAGAUUCUAGCUCUGUUCAUUUUUUUGAGAUUUUAUUAUUUACCUACAAUUUAGACUGGAUUCUGAAAUUGUUAGUUUCCUCUAAUGUCUGACUGCAACUCUCCAAAAUAACAUUUUCACUUUUUUCUCCAAUUUUUUUCUGACUUGGAAUCACUGAAAUUAAAUGUGCCUUUUUCUUGAAGCCCUGAAAGCUGAAGCUGGUUGACUCCAGAUAAAUCACAAUAACAACUUAAAAUCUGUCAGAUUGUCACUGUCUAUCCACACUUCAACUGAAGAUGUUUUGAGGCCAAAUCUAGAAAUCUUUUCAACUGCUAGACUCAGAACUAGUUUAUAUGCUGCUUCAAUUAUUAACUUUUGUCUUUCUUUUGUUUCUUUAGAGAAGCCUCAUAUUAAAAACUUGUUUGCUUACACCAUGUAGAGACUUAACUGUGGGAACCCUGCAACACCACUUCCUAAAAUGAGACAUUUUUCUACUUAUUCCAAUAUAUGUUUUUCUUCCCUUUGCUAAUGUCUUAUCUCAAAAUGUCUAAAGCAAAUUUUCCACAGUUAUCAAUCCUAUUUUAAUAUGUAAAACUUUCUGAAAAUAAAUUUCAAAGAGGGGACUGUGGGAAACCAAAAUAUGCCAUCCAAAGCGUGCCUCUUUGGCAUAUUUUGAGAUGGCUAUUCAGAGGGUCUGCAGACACAAAGCAUGGCUCUGAAAAUUUAUCCUUUUGUAAAAUAAAUUUACAUGUAUAUAUUAAUAAAGCAAACAAGGGAUGCAGGCAGACGGUUUCUCUGAGGUCCUUUUAUUUGAAUCUAGGAAAGAUUAACUCACAGGAAAAGAAGACUAAAGACAGGUUUGACACUUUUAAAGGUCUGACAGAGAAACUAUUACCACAGGUUACCAUCUACUCUUUUUGAGGGCUAUUACCUGAUAGACCUUCUCUGCACAAUGAAACAACAGCCUUUGUUCACAGUGCAUUCUUCCCCUUACCCUUCCAUAACCUGUCACCACAGCCUCCAGGAGCUUCAGGCCUCUUUUUCUUUCUGUAUCAUAUAAAAACCUUAGGCCCUUCUUUGAGUCCUGUAUUUUGUGUAGCUCCCUGUGCACGUGCAUGUAAUAAAUUUGUAUGCUUUUUCCUGUGAAUCUGUCUGUUUGGUUUAUAGGCUCAAAUUAUCUAACCU